UCUGGCUCAGGACGAACGCUGGCGGCGUGCUUAACACAUGCAAGUCGAGCGGAGAAUAUAGCAAUAUAUUCUCAGCGGCGGACGGGUGAGUAACGCGUGGGCAAUCUGCCUCAUACAGGGGGAUAACACUGGGAACUAGUGCUAAUACCGCAUAAAAUAGUGAAGUGGCAUCACUUUACUAUCAAAAGGAGCAAUCCGGUGUGAGAUGAGCCCGCGUCCGAUUAGCUAGUUGGAGGGUAACGGCCCACCAAGGCGACGAUCGGUAGCCGAACUGAGAGGUUGAUCGGCCACAUUGGGACUGAGACACGGCCCAGACUCCUACGGGAGGCAGCAGUGGGGAAUAUUGCGCAAAUGGGGGAAACCCUGACGCAGCAACGCCGCGUGAAGGAUGAAGGUUUUCGGAUUGUAAACUUCUUUGAUUGGGGACGAUAAUGACGGUACCCAAAAAACAAGCCACGGCUAACUACGUGCCAGCAGCGGC
rnacentral:rRNA from 1 species